GAGGCCUUAGCUUAAUUAAAGUGUCUGAUUUGCGUUCAGUUGAUGUGUGUUAGUAUAUCACAGGUCUUG
rnacentral:tRNA from 1 species